CAAACUAAAACCCUAAACCAAAACACGCCUAGAUGGCUUCCUUCUCCUACAAUCUUCUUUCCUUAUGGCAACGUGAGUUACAAUCUAUACCCCUAACUCUUUGCCGUGGUAGCACGUGCCGGCAGAGGCAGUGGCGGAUCGCCGUUUUCCUCCGCCCUACGCAGCUUCUUCUCUUAUCGGAUCUUCGUCUCCGCUAUGUUUACUCUUCUCUUCUUCGCAACUGCUUCCGUACUCUUCUCAUCGCAUCCUGCACAUUUGUCUGAUGAUACUUCGGGGAAUGAAAUAGAAAGUUGCCUCAAGAGAAGCUUGAGAAAAGCUUCACCGGAAAAUGAGUGACCUUCAAGAGAAGCUUAAUGAAAAGCUUUCAAUUAUUUGAUUCUAUUAACUACGUAUUGCCAUCAUCUAAUUCAUGAUUUAAAUGGCUGUUGAAUGGUUUAGAAAAAGUGACAACAGGUCCCAACAUUGCUGAUGCUAUUGUAGGAAGAAUUGCUAAGGGAACCAAAGUUCUUUUAGGUGGAUAUGAUAAAAUAUUUAGAACAACAUUCCAAUUUCCAAACCAUUCCUGAGGAAGCACUUCUGGGGAAUUCGAUCACUGCUAAUGCAUCCGACCAACUUCCUUUCACUCCUCAAGACCUAUAGAGCUUCUUUUCACUCCUCAAGACCUAUAGUCUCGAUCAUGGUCUCAAUUUACGAAAACUGGAAGCAUUCACGCCCAAGGGAUAACUUAUUUAAUGUAGUUGAAGUCUUCACUAAUUCAUCUAAGUUUAAAAUGUUCACACUUGUGCACUUGCUAAAGAAGUGGAUGUUAAUAGUUCAACUCACCUAGCGGGUCAGAUUGCAUCUGGUAGCAACAAAUUAGAGGCAGGUCCAAUCUGGGCAAAUUGUUUUUGCUAAACUCGCUUACCGGACAAUGUUGUGUUGUACAAACAUCAAACAAGCUUGGUCUCACUCAGAACCGUAAAGGGAAUUUGAUAGACGUAGAAGAUGUUGCCAGUGCUAAUGAAUUUGAACGCAAAGAUCACUCUGAUUGUUCAGUCUAAAGGGAAAUCACUAUUUAUUCAAAAAUGAGACAGUUGAAGGGUGUAAUAUGGAGUCCAGAUGAUUCAUUAUUUGGUAUCUGGAGUUGAUUACGAGGCUCCUUAGGCUCUGCAUUGGACGAGGGAGACGAAGUUGCUAAAUGGCUCACUUACUUCCGAAGGGAAACCAAGCCACUUAGUAAGCUUUAAUGAAGAUCUUGAAAAGAGAAGAGAAAUAUAAAGAGAACGUUCCGGGCUAUGACCUCCGACGACGAUAAAGCAGGUCAUCACCUAAGUUCAGCACAUAAGCAGGGUUUGUUGUGUUAAGGGAUGGCCAAAGAAGGGAUUACAUCAUCAUCCCAGCAUCAGCAACUUUCUUUCUUUUCAAAACUGCAGCAUACCAGUAGUAUAAUAAGACUAAACAUCCACAACUUUUGUACGAAGCUAAGUUGUACAAUGCAGAUUUAUAUGUUUAUCUUUUAUUUCACUCUGAAUGAUAUGAUUUGUAAUGUUUUAUUUUCACUUGUAGGUGGUAUACCUUCCAUAAAAUGGUCCGGUGUAGAUGGAGAGGAUAUGUUUUAAUUAUUGAUUUGCUAGGACCGAGUCUUGAGGACCUGUUUGUGUAUUGUGGGAGGAACUUUCAAUUGAAAACAGUCUUGAUGUUGGCUGAUUAAAUGGUAUCAAUUUCUCCUGAGGUUAUAUCAAAGACCAAAUGCAGAGAAAUCAUGAAAUCCAUCAGCUCUCUGUAUCGGGCUUCACACCUCGGAAAUUUGCUGUUAGCUUAAGAUGGAUAGAAGAGUGCGUUUGCUGAGGGUCUAUUGCCCUUUGAGUCUAAAGAGUUCGCCGUUAAAAUCACUGAGCAGGAUGGGCGGGAACGUGACUUCAGGGUUACAAUCAAGUUUGCUGCCAAAAAAGAUCUUCACUACCUGAAGCAGUUCUUGAGUGGCAGACAACAUGAUAGUCCUCAAGAAACAAUUUAAGCUCUUGAUGUGUUUAAGGGAAUGGGCCUCAUCAGAGUUUGCUUUAUGAAGCAAAAGGUCUCCAGAAACAAGGUUUAAAGGCUUAUAAACAUGCUUUAGACGUGGAGCCGGCCCAUGUGAAGAGUUUUGUUUCCAUAGCGUGUGUGUCCAGGAAGCUUAGUGGAUUUGUGGCCCGAUGCUUUCUGAACGAGGCGUACGGGUCGGUGACAUGAGACAUACGAUAUGCUCCAGUUGGCAGUUUCACAAGAUCCCGCUACCAUGUACUACGGAGGCUAUGCCAGAUAUGGUGUAUACUCUCAAGUCCAACUGCAGCUGCACUGCCUCAACCUCAACCUCAGCAGCAUCAGUUGUUAAAAUGGUGAUGUUGCUGGGCGGUCUGUUUUGAAGUCAAGACCAGUUGAGAGCUGUAUACAUAAUGUGCUGAAGCAAGACUCCUUAAAUGACCAUUAUACCCCUCAAAGGCAUAAAACCGUUACUUUGGGUCGUCACUUCAGUGGUUGCAAGGCUGCAGUUAGGCCGAGCUACAUCUGUUCCUGGAUCUGGCUGUAUAUGGCAGCUGUUGGUUCUAAACUUGCUAAUAAAAGGUUUACUGGGUCAUGUUUGGAAGAGAGUUGGUAUAGGCCUGCUUCUGCUAAAGAUGGGUAUGAUUCUCUGUCGUCUGUAUGGGAUGAACAAGUGCAGCCGGUUUCAGUUUAUGUGGCAGUGUUUUUAUACAGUCCAUACUGCUAGCUGUUGGACCAGGAACUGCAAUUUGACAGGAUUUACAAAUUAUAUCAGUUUGAUAGUUUGAUGACAAAAAGGGUGAUACAUAAGGUAGCAAAAAUAGAUGAUUGGGAGAAUUUGCAAAAAGCUAAAGUAGAAGCCGAUAUACGGAAGACCCAUCAUCAAGCUGCUGCGGGAUCUAAUAGCAUAUCUUGGUAUAGGUACCAGUAAGACUUCUAAUUCAGGUCCCAAGAAGAUGAUUGAUUCAGGAAGUCGUGUAUUGAGUCAGAGAAACUGAAAGCAAAGCCAAACAAAGUGAAACCAUGGUUUAGGAAGUAUUUAUGACGUUAAAAGCUGUGUAUGUGUAUGUAUCUGAUGUGAUUUAAGCCCAUUGGGUUAUAUAUAAUUGUGGAAUAUGUAUUGAGAUUAUUAAUUAAAUGUU